rnacentral:rRNA from 1 species
CCUACGGGGGGCUGCAGUGGGGAAUAUUGGACAAUGGGCGAAAGCCUGAUCCAGCAAUGCCGCGUGAGUGAUGAAGGCCUUAGGGUUGUAAAGCUCUUUUACCAGGGAUGAUAAUGACAGUACCUGGAGAAUAAGCUCCGGCUAACUCCGUGCCAGCAGCCGCGGUAAUACGGAGGGAGCUAGCGUUGUUCGGAAUUACUGGGCGUAAAGCGUACGUAGGCGGUUAUUCAAGUCAGGGGUGAAAGCCUGGAGCUCAACUCCAGAACUGCCUUUGAAACUAGAUAACUAGAAUCUUGGAGAGGUGAGUGGAAUUCCGAGUGUAGAGGUGAAAUUCGUAGAUAUUCGGAAGAACACCAGUGGCGAAGGCGACUCACUGGACAAGUAUUGACGCUGAGGUACGAAAGCGUGGGGAGCAAACAGGCUUAGAUACCCCGGUAGUC